rnacentral:rRNA from 1 species
AUUGAACGCUGGCGGCAGGCUUAACACAUGCAAGUCGAGCGCGCGGCGGACGGGUGAGUAAUGUGUGGGAAACUGCCCGAUGGAGGGGGAUAACUACUGGAAACGGUAGCUAAUACCGCAUACCAUCAGAUGUGCCCAGAUGGGAUUUGCUAGUAGGGGGGGUAAUGUCUCACCUAGGCGACGAUCCCUAGCUGGUCUGAGAGGAUGGCCAGCCACCCUGGAACUGAGACACGGGCCAGAAUCCUACGGGAGGCAGCAGUGGGGAAUAUUGCACAAUGGGCGCAAGCCUGAUGCAGCCAUGCCGCGUGUAUGAAGAAGGCCUUAGGGUUGUAAAGUACUUUCAGCGAGGAGGCGUUACUCGCAGAAGAAGCACCGGCUAACUCCGUGCCAGCAGCCGAGGUAAUAC